UCUGUAUCUCCAUUAUGCUUCUUCACUGCUGAGUGUCAAUACACCAGGUCUACUCAUCGUGCGCAAGACAGUUUAAGAAAGAGAGUUGGGAUUAUUCAGCCUGGGGAAGAGAAGGCUCUGGGGAGACCUUAUAGCACCUUCCAGAACAUAAAGGACACCAGCAAGAGAGCAGGAGAGAGACUUUUCACAAGUGGAUGUAGUGAUAGAAGAGGUCAGCCAGCCAGUCUGCAGCUGAGCUCCAUGGAGAUACAGAAAAAGGAGUAAAGCAGUUGCAGUUAUAAAGACCGAACUUAUCCAACUAUAAGCCUAGAGGAGUGAUGACCCCUCCUUAAGCUGGAAAAAUGUUCUUAAGAUUCCCUCUCAAGACCAAGAAAGAGAGAGAAUUGCUCCUAGAAAAUGACUCCAUUUUUGAGGCA